rnacentral:rRNA from 1 species
GAUGAACGCUGGCGGCGUGCCUAAUACAUGCAAGUCGAGCGAAUGGAUUGAGAGCUUGCUCUUAUGAAGUUAGCGGCGGACGGGUGAGUAACACGUGGGUAACCUGCCCAUAAGACUGGGAUAACUCCGGGAAACCGGGGCUAAUACCGGAUAACAUUUUGAACCGCAUGGUUCGAAAUUGAAAGGCGGCUUCGGCUGUCACUUAUGGAUGGACCCGCGUCGCAUUAGCUAGUUGGUGAGGUAACGGCUCACCAAGGCAACGAUGCGUAGCCGACCUGAGAGGGUGAGCGGCCACACGGGGACGGGGACACGGCCCAGACUCCUACGGGAGGCAGCAGUAGGGAAUCUUCCGCAAUGGACGAAAGUCUGACGGAGCAACGCCGCGUGAGUGAUGAAGGCUUUCGGGUCGUAAAACUCUGUUGUUAGGGAAGAACAAGUGCUAGUUGAAUAAGCUGGCACCUUGACGGUACCUAACCAGAAAGCCACGGCUAACUACGUGCCAGCCGCCGCGGUAA